rnacentral:rRNA from 1 species
UACGGAGGGUGCAAGCGUUAAUCGGAAUUACUGGGCGUAAAGCGUGCGCAGGCGGUUUGUUAAGUCUGCUGUGAAAUCCCCGAGCUCAACUUGGGAAUUGCAGUGGAUACUGGCAGGCUGGAGUAUGGUAGAGGAAGGUGGAAUUCCAGGUGUAGCGGUGAAAUGCGUAGAUAUCUGGAGGAACACUGGUGGCGAAGGCGGCAUCCUGGACCGGCAUUGACGCUGAGGAGCGAAAGCCAGGGGAGCAAACGGG